rnacentral:rRNA from 1 species
GUAGUCAUAUGCUUGUCUCAAAGAUUAAGCCAUGCAUGUCUAAGUAUAAGCAAUUUAUACAGUGAAACUGCGAAUGGCUCAUUAAAUCAGUUAUCGUUUAUUUGAUAGUACCUUACUACUUGGAUAACCGUGGUAAUUCUAGAGCUAAUACAUGCUUAAAAUCCCGACUGUUUGGAAGGGAUGUAUUUAUUAGAUAAAAAAUCAAUGUCUUCGGACUCUUUGAUGAUUCAUAAUAACUUUUCGAAUCGCAUGGCCUUGUGCUGGCGAUGGUUCAUUCAAAUUUCUGCCCUAUCAACUUUCGAUGGUAGGAUAGUGGCCUACCAUGGUUUCAACGGGUAACGGGGAAUG